UACGAAGGGUGCAAACGUUGCUCGGAAUCAUUGGGCGUAAAGCGCACGUAGGCGGCUCCACAAGUCGGAUGUGAAAUCCCUCGGCUCAACCGAGGACGUGCAUACGAAACUAUGGAGCUUGAGUACAGAAGAGGAUCGCGGAAUUCCCGGUGUAGAGGUGAAAUUCGUAGAUAUCGGGAGGAACACCAGUGGCGAAGGCGGCGAUCUGGGCUGAUACUGACGCUGAGGUGCGAAAGCGUGGGGAGCAAACAGG
rnacentral:rRNA from 1 species